rnacentral:rRNA from 1 species
GUACGGGAGGCAGCAGUGAGGAAUAUUGGUCAAUGGACGGAAGUCUGAACCAGCCAUCCCGCGUGCAGGAAGAAGGCGCUAUGCGUUGUAAACUGCUUUUCCGAGGGAAGAAAACCCCCGACGUGUCGGGGCUUGUCGGUACCUUGGGAAUAAGCAUCGGCUAACUCCGUGCCAGCAGCCGCGGUAAUACGGAGGAUGCGAGCGUUAUCCGGAUUUAUUGGGUUUAAAGGGUGCGUAGGCGGACCGAUAAGUCAGUGGUGAAAACCUGCAGCUUAACUGUAGACGUGCCAUUGAUACUGUCGGACUUGAGUGUGGUCAAGGUAGGCGGAAUGUGUAAUGUAGCGGUGAAAUGCUUAGAUAUUACACAGAACACCGAUUGCGAAGGCAGCUUGCUGGACCAUUACUGACGCUGAUGCACGAAAGCGUGGGGAGCGAACAGGAUUAGAUACCCUGGU